AUUGAACGCUGGCGGCAGGCCUAACACAUGCAAGUCGAACGGAGUGGCGGACGGGUGAGUAAUGCCUAGGAAUCUGCCUGGUAGUGGGGGAUAACGUCCGGAAACGGGCGCUAAUACCGCAUACUAUCAGAUGAGCCUAGGUCGGAUUAGCUAGUGGGUGGGGUAAAGGCCUACCAAGGCGACGAUCCGUAACUGGUCUGAGAGGAUGAUCAGUCACACUGGAACUGAGACACGGUCCAGACUCCUACGGGAGGCAGCAGUGGGGAAUAUUGGACAAUGGGCGAAAUCCUGAUCCAGCCAUGCCGCGUGUGUGAAGCAGUUCUUCGGAUUGUAAAGCACUUUAAGUUGGGAGGCGUUACCCGCAGAAGAAGCACCGGCUAACUCCGUGCCAGCAGCCGCGGUAAUAC
rnacentral:rRNA from 1 species